rnacentral:rRNA from 1 species
CCCUUAGAUGUUCUGGGCCGCACGCGCGCUACACUGAUGAAUUCAACGAGCUCCUAACCUAGGCCGAAGGGUCCGGGUAAUCUUUGAAAUUUCAUCGUGAUGGGGAUAGAUUAUUGCAAUUAUUAAUCUUCAACGAGGAAUUCCUAGUAAGCGCGAGUCAUCAGCUCGCGUUGAUUACGUCCCUGCCCUUUGUACACACCGCCCGUCGCUCCUACCGAUUGGAUGGUCCGGUGAAAUGUUCGGACCGCGACAAGGCGGACGGUUCGCUGUCAGCUUUGCUGCGGGAAGUUCAUUAAACCUUAUCAUUUAGAGGAAGGAGAAGUCGUAACA